GUGCUUGCUUUGGCAGCACAUAUACUAAAAUUGGAUCGAUACAGAGAAGAUUAGCAUGGCCCCUGCGAAAGGAUGACACGCAAAUACGUGAAGCGCUCCUUAUUUUC
rnacentral:snRNA from 8 species